rnacentral:rRNA from 1 species
GAUGAACGCUGGCGGCGUGCCUAAUACAUGCAAGUCGAGCGAACGGACGAGAAGCUUGCUUCUCUGAUGUUAGCGGCGGACGGGUGAGUAACACGUGGAUAACCUACCUAUAAGACUGGGAUAACUUCGGGAAACCGGAGCUAAUACCGGAUAAUAUUUUGAACCGCAUGGUUCAAAAGUAAAAGACGGUCUUGCUGUCACUUAUAGAUGGAUCCGCGCUGCAUUAGCUAGUUGGUAAGGUAACGGCUUACCAAGGCAACGAUGCAUAGCCGACCUGAGAGGGUGAUCGGCCACACUGGAACUGAGACACGGUCCAGACUCAUACGGGAGGCAGCAGUAGGGAAUCUUCCGCAAUGGGCGAAAGCCUGACGGAGNCACGCCGCGUGAGUGAUGAAGGUCUUCGGAUCGUAAAACUCUGUUAUUANNGAAGAACAUACGUGUAAGUAACUGUGCACAUCUUUGACGUACCCUAUCAGAAAGCCACGGCUAACUACGUGCCAGCAGCCCGCGUAAUACGUANGUGGGCAGCGUUAUCCGGAAUUAUUGGGCGUAACGCGCGUAGGCGGUUUUUUAGUCUGAUGUGAAAGCCCACGGCUCAACCGUGGAGGGUCAUUGGAAACUGGAAAACUUGAGUGCAGAAGAGGAAAGUGGAAUUCCAUGUGUAGCGGUGAAAUGCGCAGAGAUAUGGAGGAACACCAGUGGCGAAGGCGACUUUCUGGUCUGUAACUGACGCUGAUGUGCGAAAGCGUGGGGAUCAAACAGGAUUAGAUACCCUGGUAGUCCACGCCGUAAACGAUGAGUGCUAAGUGUUAGGGGGUUUCCGCCCCUUAGUGCUGCAGCUAACGCAUUAAGCACUCCGCCUGGGGAGUACGACCGCAAGGUUGAAACUCAAAGGAAUUGACGGGGACCCGCACAAGCGGUGGAGCAUGUGGUUUAAUUCGAAGCAACGCGAAGAACCUUACCAAAUCUUGACAUCCUUUGACAACUCUAGAGAUAGAGCCUUCCCCUUCGGGGGACAAAGUGACAGGUGGUGCAUGGUUGUCGUCAGCUCGGGUCGUGAGAUGUUGGGUUAAGUCCCGCAACGAGCGCAACCCUUAAGCUUAGUUGCCAUCAUUAAGUUGGGCACUCUAAGUUGACUGCCGGUGACAAACCGGAGGAAGGUGGGGAUGACGUCAAAUCAUCGUGCCCCUUAUGAUUUGGGCUACACACGUGCUACAAUGGACAAUACAAAGGGCAGCGAAACCGCGAGGUCAAGCAAAUCCCAUAAAGUUGUUCUCAGUUCGGAUUGUAGUCUGCAACUCGACUACAUGAAGCUGGAAUCGCUAGUAAUCGUAGAUCAGCAUGCUACGGUGAAUACGUUCCCGGGUCU